rnacentral:rRNA from 1 species
GACGAACGCUGGCGGCGUGCCUAAUACAUGCAAGUAGAACGCACAGUUUAUACCGUAGCUUGCUACACCAUAGACUGUGAGUUGCGAACGGGUGAGUAACGCGUAGGUAACCUGCCUGGUAGCGGGGGAUAACUAUUGGAAACGAUAGCUAAUACCGCAUAAUAUUGAUUAUUGCAUGAUAAUUAAUUGAAAGGUGCAAUUGCACCACUACCAGAUGGACCUGCGUUGUAUUAGCUAGUAGGUGAGGUAACGGCUCACCUAGGCGACGAUACAUAGCCGAACUGAGAGGGUGAUCGGCCACACUGGGACUGAGACACGGCCCAGACUCCUACGGGAGGCAGCAGUAGGGAAUCUUCGGCAAUGGACGAAAGUCUGACCGAGCAACGCCGCGUGAGUGAAGAAGGGUUUCGGAUCGUAAAGCUCUGUUGUAAGAGAAGAACGGGUGUGAGAGUGGAAAGUUCACACUGUGACGGUAUCUUACCAGAAAGGGACGGCUAACUACGUG